rnacentral:rRNA from 1 species
UACAGAGGUCUCAAGCGUUGUUCGGAUUCAUUGGGCGUAAAGGGUGCGUAGGCGGCGCGGUAAGUCGGGGUGUGAAAUCUUGGAGCUUAACUCCGAAACUGCAUUCGAUACUGCCGUGCUUGAGGACUGGAGAGGAGACUGGAAUUUACGGUGUAGCGGUGAAAAAUGCGUAGAUAUCGUAAGGAAGACCAGUGGCGAAGGCGGGUCUCUGGACAGUUCCUGACGCUGAGGCACGAAGGCCAGGGGGAGCAAAACGGGG